UCCUCUCAGAACUUCUUCGCACGUCUCUCUCACGGGAAGAAAACCACAAAGAAGCUUCAACUUGCUUUCUCGUUCACAAACCAGUGCACCUUUUCUCAAAACAGAAAAAUCCUUGGCUUCUCCCACUGCCAGUCCUUGCUGUCCAUCGUCGGAAGUGAAUCUAGAUGGAGAAAGGGAAAGAGCACGCAUCUCCGUUAACACCUCCUACCACAGAUCCACCAACAAAUUCAUCAACCCAGGUGAUAGCAAGACCCUUUUAUCCACAAUUCUCAAUACCUCAUACCACAAGUCUAGCAACACAGGUAAUCUGUUAUAUUAUUUUUGAAUUAUUUAUUUAUUCUAUUAAUAUAUUUAUCUUAGGUCUUCAGUACAUUAUCAUUAUUCAUUUAUGUGUUAGCUGAUACCAAGACCAUGGUAUCCGGAUUUACCAGCACCUCCUACCACUGAUCCAUCAACCAAUAUAGCAUCGUAGGUAUUUUGAAUAUUAAUUUUGA